rfam:Camelus ferus unplaced genomic scaffold scaffold1372, whole genome shotgun sequence.
GAAGUUAUAGCUCAGUGGUAGAGCACGUGCUUAGUGUGCACGAGGUCUUGGAUUCAAUCCCCAGCACCCCCA